rnacentral:lncRNA from 1 species
ACAAUGUUCUCUUGAUUCUGCUUACUUCACUUAGCAUCAAGAACUUACAAUCUUAUUGGGAUGAGAGAUGAACUUCUAUAAAACAACGAGUGAUCACGAUGAACAUUUACUGCUGGACCGUCUUCCUUGCUUAUGGAAAAUUGAGCUCUUUUGACAAGGGAAAUAUCAAAGGAACCAAAAUCUAUAACCAGAUAUAGCCAGGGCUGAUUUCCCCCAGGCACUUACUCGAUAACUACGAUAUUGCAGUGGCAGCUCUGUUGAAACAGGUGAGACGCACAUCUUUGCUCAGAUGAACAUUCUCCAGAAGCCCUCACCACCAGAUAAUUGAUGCAGAUGUCACUAACAGCUGCUUUGCAGCUGGAAUAUUCUCUGAAGAAAUACACCGCCUCAUUGCGAACUACACAAAACAUGGGUUAUUAUAAAGAUGUGAGCAAAAAUAAAC